CAAACAAAAAAACAUUUUAUUCAAAUCUUGGGAUAUCGCCGAUUCACUACUUUUAUCGCUGUUUGAACUACUUUUUUUUAAUUAAAUAAUAUUUUCAACACAUAUUAGAAAUUUUACUGUACUAAUUUGGUUUAAAAUUGCCGACUUUCAGAAACCAUAAACGACUUAGUUAAAACUGUCCAACAAAACAGUGAGGCAAUUAUGUCCGCAUUUGCCGAAAUAAAGGUAGUCACAACAAGAAACUUCAAUCAGUACCGCUACAAAUGACUUUCCAAUAUCGUCUGAAAAAAUGUUGCAAACCAUGGAGGAAAAAAUCACUUGUGACAACCGAGAUAUUUACGUCUCUACAAUGAGCAAGCUGUGGCGAAACUGUGUCGGAAAAAAUAUAGAGAAUAUACUGGAUUCUAAAGUCAUAAUGGAUUUUAAUGUAGACGGUACUCAUGGAAAACGCUCUUAAAGGAAAUAUAAAAAUUUCUACAAAGCUUUAAUUGGUAAGUGGAAUAUUUUAACGGAAAAAAUGUGGAACAGCUACUACGCCAGGCAAUGCAAUUAUGCAAAAAGAAGCAAUUCAGAAAGAAUUCUGAAAAUAAAAAGAUCGAGCUAGAGUCAACAGAAAAUAUUGAUGUGAAUUAAAUUUUGGUAUUAAUUUUUGAGUGAAUUAUUUUUUAUUUUUAUUUUUUAUACAUACAUCAAAUGUGGAUAUGGAUUUUUAAUUUAAUUUUUUAAUAUGAAUUUAUAUUACUUUUU